GAUGAAUUUUUAACGGGGGAUAAAAAGAAGGAAUAGGGAAAAUCUAAAGCAGUAAUAGGGUAAGAAAAACAGCACAACAAAUGGGGAAAAGUGAGGAAGAGUGUGUAGGCAUAAAGGUAAAGUUGAGAUAAAGUAAAAUGAUGCUAAA